rfam:Ovis aries breed Texel chromosome 1, whole genome shotgun sequence.
UUCCUGGUAUCUCAGCUGGUAAAGAAUCUGCCUGCAAUGCAGGAGACCCUGGUUUGAUUCCUGGGUUGGGAA